UGUAUUUCACUCAUUAAAAUGCCGACUUUGACAGGCAUAUUGUAUGUAUCGUGAUCUUCUGCCUGUUAUUCAGUGGGCUGGAAUCAAGGAGUCUAGAUUGGCUGGAUGAUGGACGUAGGCAAGUACAGGAGGACGAUGUUCGUCUGGUGGGUGGGAGUUGGCCAUCAGAGGGGCGGGUGGGGGUGUUCCACGCUGGCAGCUGGGGGCGGUGUGUGAUGAUGGCUGGGGGACGGAGGAGGCGCAGGUGGUGUGCACCCAGUUGGGUUUCCGUGGUGCCCUUUCUGCAGAACCAGGAGGGAAGUUGGGACAAGGUUCUGGAAACAUAUGACUGGAUGAUCUAGGAUGCAAAGGCAGUGUGAGGUCCCUGAGUAGCUGUGCCUUUAAAGGCUGGGGAGUGACUGACUGCUCCCAUUCAGAGGAUGCUGGUGUGGUGUGUGAUGUUGGUAAGGUCCCUACUGAAACACAGACAAACUGCUGACAAAAAUUAGAACAGAUAGUUAACUACCUCAACUGAAUGUGUCAAUUAUUUAUAGUAAGCAAGUAUAGUAAGAAGUGUGUCAUAAAUGAUCAAAUGCAAAUUUAAGAUUGAAGAUCAAUCAAUCAACAAAUGAAUCCACCUCAAUAGAUUUUUCCAUUCAUUAACUCAAAGGAAUAAUAC